GCGGAUGGGAUAUCCCGCACGGCGGAUACGAAUGGUCUCCAUCAUCCCAGAGUACCUCAGCUGACGCACACACAGCUCCCUGUCAAACAGCUGAUCGGAAACAAAAAGAAAAAGGUUGUCUGGAUGGUGUUGGACGUCGGACACUCACCAUGGGUUUCUUGUACUCGUUGGGUUUGAUGCAGCGGACGAAGAACGGCUGACAGACGCCCAGAGUCCUCAUCAGCAGCUCCAGAGACCUUUUAAACUGGCUGCUGAGGGAGGAGAAGUGGCAGGUCGACCUACUGAACUACAAGGAGCAUAAGAAGACAGAAACUACACACAGACACACACACAGAGGGAAGACAGAGAAGACAGGAGUGUUACCUUUAAGCUGGAAAGUUACUGAGAAACAUACCAGGUUCACCUGGAUUCUCCUGCUUCUAACAUCAACUCUGAGGAUAAAGAACUUGUUAUGAUCAACUAAGGAGCCACGGUGGUCAUAAUGCUUUGGCUGAACG